rnacentral:rRNA from 1 species
AUUGAACGCUGGCGGCAGGCCUAACACAUGCAAGUCGAGCGGCAGCACGGGUACUUGUACCUGGUGGCGAGCGGCGGACGGGUGAGUAAUGCCUAGGAAUCUGCCUGGUAGUGGGGGAUAACGUCCGGAAACGGGCGCUAAUACCGCAUACGUCCUACGGGAGAAAGUGGGGGAUCUUCGGACCUCACGCUAUUAGAUGAGCCUAGAUCGGAUUAGCUAGUUGGUGAGGUAAGGGCUCACCAAGGCGACGAUCCGUAACUGGUCUGAGAGGAUGAUCAGUCACACUGGAACUGAGACACGGUCCAGACUCCUACGGGAGGCAGCAGUGGGGAAUAUUGGACAAUGGGCGAAAGCCUGAUCCAGCCAUGCCGCGUGUGUGAAGAAGGUCUUCGGAUUGUAAAGCACUUUAAGUUGGGAGGAAGGGCAGUUACCUAAUACGUGAUUGUUUUGACGUUACCGACAGAAUAAGCACCGGCUAACUCUGUGCCAGCAGCCGCGGUAA